rnacentral:rRNA from 1 species
ACGCUGGCGGCAUGCCUUACACAUGCAAGUCGAACGGCAGCGGACCUUCGGGUGCCGGCGAGUGGCGAACGGGUGAGUAAUAUAUCGGAACGUACCUUUCAGUGGGGAUAACGUAGCGAAAGUUACGCUAAUACCGCAUAUUCUGUGAGCAGGAAAGCAGGGGAUCGCAAGACCUUGCGCUGAUUGAGCGGCCGAUAUCAGAUUAGCUAGUUGGUGAGGUAAAGGCUCACCAAGGCGACGAUCUGUAGCGGGUCUGAGAGGAUGAUCCGCCACACUGGAACUGAGACACGGUCCAGACUCCUACGGGAGGCAGCAGUGGGGAAUUUUGGACAAUGGGCGCAAGCCUGAUCCAGCCAUGCCGCGUGAGUGAAGAAGGCCUUCAGGUUGUAAAGCUCUUUCGGCCGGGAAGAAAUCGCACGGGUUAAUACCCUGUGUGGAUGACGGUACCGGAAUAAGAAGCACCGGCUAACUACGUG